rnacentral:rRNA from 1 species
AGGGAACGGAGAUUAGCCCAGUACCGAAGCCUAUUCGUGUAUGCGGACAAGGCAAUGUGGUAUUUAGGCAUGCAUCUUAGAUGGCUCGUCUAUUCGAAGUCCACUCCGAUUAUGGCUUUGGAUUUGUCCCAUAGAGGGUGAAAGGCCCGUUCGAGUAGACACUGUUGUUUUCGAGCUGUCUUUUGAUAUGUGUGCUUUGGAGUCGGAUUGCUUGAGAAUGCAGUCCAAAGUGGGUGGUAAACUCCAUCCAAGGCUAAAUACUGGCACGAGUCCGAUAGUAGACAAGUACCGUGAGGGAAAGUUGAAAAGUACUCUGAAGAGAGAGUAAAUAGUACGUGAAGCCGACUGAAUAGAAUCCGGUGGAGUCAAGCUUCUUGCAUUUGAAAUUGGCACAGAGAUUACUCUUGUUCAUGAAGUGUGGCGUAUAUGGCUUGAAAAUAGCUUGGUGGUUUUCCAUUCUAAGUUAUCCGGGCUGGUGACUUUUGAUGCGCCUAUUUCUUCGAUCUCUUGUGUUAUUUUUGAAUGCAUAAAUCAUGGUCAAUGUUCUUGCUGUGUGCCUCAGUCUAACCGUUUUUUGUGAGCUUUAGCUUGCUUAAUUCGGAAUGGCAUGUGGUGGCUGGUUAGUUUCUGCUUAUCAGUCACGUAUAAUGGUUUAGCCUGCUGACUGAAGUGCUUCUAAUACUGUCGAGCGCAUUGUUUUUAUAAUACAUGUCUUCUUAAUUGAUUGCAUGUAUUAGAGCCAUGGUUCUGAAGUAGAUUUUCUUCCGGGCCCGUCUUGAAACACGGACCAAGGAGUUUAACUCGAUCGCAAGUCAUCGGAUUCUUUGUAAAUCCAAUGGCGCAAUGAAAGUAAACGGUUGCUUUUCGUAACCGAAGGUGUGAUCUACGCUUGUCCUGAACUGGGCUGCGUGGCGUAAUACCGGCCCGUUUCGUAAUGUAGUCAUGCUGGUUCCGACUGGUGUGCAUCAUUGAGGCGGAGCAAGAGCGAUCAGGUUGAGACCCGAAAGAUGGUGAACUAUGCUUGCGUAGGUUGAAGCCAGAGGAAACUCUGGUGGAGGACCGUCGCGGUUUUGACGUGCAAAUCGAUCGUCAAACGUGAGCAUAGGGGCGAAAGACUAAUCGAACCAUCUAGUAGCUGGUUCCCUCCGAAGUUUCCCUCAGGAUAGCUGGCACUCAAUUAAUACAGUUUUAUCUGGUAAAGCGAAUGAUUAGAGGUAUUGGGGGCUAUAUGACCUCAACCUAUUCUCAAACUAUUAAUGGGUACGAUGCAUGGCUCGCUUAAUUGGAGUUGUGCAUUGAAUGUGAGUGCCAAGUGGGCCAUUUUUGGUAAGCAGAACUGGCGCUGUGGGAUGCUCCGAACGUCAAGAUAAGGUGCC